rnacentral:rRNA from 1 species
AAAUUGAAGAGUUUGAUCAUGGCUCAGAUUGAACGCUGGCGGCAGGCCUAACACAUGCAAGUCGAACGGUAACAGGAAACAGCUUGCUGUUUCGCUGACGAGUGGCGGACGGGUGAGUAAUGUCUGGGAAACUGCCUGAUGGAGGGGGAUAACUACUGGAAACGGUAGCUAAUACCGCAUAAUGUCGCAAGACUAAAGAGGGGGACCUUCGGGCCUCUUGCCAUCGGAUGUGCCCAGAUGGGAUUAGCUAGUAGGUGGGGUAACGGCUCACCUAGGCGACGAUCCCUAGCUGGUCUGAGAGGAUGACCAGCCACACUGGAACUGAGACACGGUCCAGACUCCUACGGGAGGCAGCAGUGGGGAAUAUUGCACAAUGGGCGCAAGCCUGAUGCAGCCAUGCCGCGUGUAUGAAGAAGGCCUUCGGGUUGUAAAGUACUUUCAGCGGGGAGGAAGGGAGUAAAGUUAAUACCUUUACUCAUUGA